CCAGACUCCUACGGGAGGCAGCAGUGAGGAAUAUUGGUCAAUGGCCGAGAGGCUGAACCAGCCAAGUCGCGUGAGGGAUGACGGCCCUACGGGUUGUAAACCUCUUUUGCCGGGGAGCAAGGGCGGGGACGUGUCCCGGCCCGGAGAGUACCCGGAGAAAAAGCAUCGGCUAACUCCGUGCCAGCAGCCGCGGUAAUACGGAGGAUGCGAGCGUUAUCCGGAUUUAUUGGGUUUAAAGGGUGCGCAGGCGGCUUGUUAAGUCGGGGGUAAAGGCCGGGGGCUCACCCCCGGCGAGCCGUUGAAACUGGCGGGCUGGAGUUGGAGAGAAGUACGCGGAAUGCGCGGUGUAGCGGUGAAAUGCUUAGAUAUCGCGCAGAACCCCGAUUGCGAAGGCAGCGUACCGGCUCCACACUGACGCUGAGGCACGAAAGCGUGGGUAUCGAACAGGAUUAGAUACCCGAGUACU
rnacentral:rRNA from 1 species